UACAGAGGUCUCAAGCGUUGUUCGGAUUCAUUGGGCGUAAAGGGUGCGUAGGCGGCGCGGUAAGUCGGGUGUGAAAUCUCGGGGCUUAACUCCGAAACUGCAUUCGAUACUGCCGUGCUUGAGGACUGGAGAGGAGACUGGAAUUUACGGUGUAGCGGUGAAAUGCGUAGAUAUCGUAAGGAAGACCAGUGGCGAAGGCGGGUCUCUGGACAGUUACUGACGCUGAGGCACGAAGGUCAGGGGAGCAAACGGG
rnacentral:rRNA from 1 species